GACUCGGUGGCGGAUGGUCCGCCUUCACAGCUUAUCAUGAAUUAGAUUGACUGACUGUGAAAGUCGCCUGUUCGACUCAGGCCCGAGUCA